AAAACAAGAGUUCAACAACAAAAAGCCUAUACAAAUGCAUACACUUCUCUUGUACCCAAUUACACAUUUAAUAGCCGCAGAUAGUCAUCUAUUAUUGACAUCGCCGAUGAUCUAUAUCCAGAACCGAAAAGAUUAUAAUGGUUCAGGUAAUGAUACAACAUAUAAAGAUCUCUCCUUUUCUCAAACCCUAGUUGUUUUGGCAUCACCUCAAAAUAAGCAUUGUAGAAUGAUCCUCCAAAACCAGCACACCAUGACAUUCCAAAUUCUGCCUCACUAUGCCCAUAAUAACAUGCUGGGUCAAGGAUAACAGGCUCGCCAUUUUUGUCAGAGCUGAUAUUCCCACUCCAUAAGUCUCCAUGAAGCAAGCAUGGCUCUAUAACUAUGUUCUCAAACAAAGGUGCCAUGUUCUUAACAAGUCUUUGUCCUUUUUGGUAAAUGCUUGUAUCACCAUACUGAUCUAAUGCCAACUUUAGUUGGUAACCUAGUCUAUGCUCUCCAUAAAACUCAAUCCGUAUUUAUCUGAGGAGUGCUGCCAAUUGUAUUAUCAACAUCAAAUCCAAAGCCUUUUUCAGAUUUCCCAGCUUUAUGCAUUUCAGCGAGCUUCCUUCCUAGGACAGACUGAUUCCCUCUAAAUGCACCAAAUUCAAUAAAUUCCAUAAUGAUGUAAGAUCCUCCUGCUGGUAGGGGUCCAACCUUAAAUGGCUUAGGUACACGGAUUGUUCUGGUUUCAUACAUGGCUCCUAAGCCAAGAGCUUCCCCCUCAAACAUGGAUGGUCCAAUACUCCUAUUUGUUUUGACAAAGAAAGAACCAGCAUCAGUGUCGUAACGACUUGCAAGAUUGAUACAACCACCACCAAUAGAACUUAUCUUUGUAAUCUGAGUUGCCUUUCCUUCUGACAGAAUCCAUUCACGGAUUGGAUCCUCACUCAUGGCAGCAACGGAAGAUGAUUUGCGUUUGGUGAAGCGGAGUCGGAGGAGACGAGAACCAGGCAGACAAGGAAAGCAAGAAUUGAAAGAGAUAAUGCCCACGUGUAAUGCCACCAUUAU
rnacentral:misc_RNA from 1 species